AAUAGUCAAGCCUAUCGAAUCGCCAUUGUCCCUUGAAGAUGAAUACAUUCUAGAAGCUACCUGUAGACAACCAGCGAGCAACACAGCCUAAUCUGGUGGAUCCCUCCACCACCGGUCUUUUUCCACCGUAGUAGUAGGGAGCAGAGGCACCCCUUGUGUCAGAUAAGUCGAUGCUCCUCUCCUUAUCCUUCUGUAGCUAAUAGAUUGUCUACUCUAUUCCCCUGUUUCGGUGCAUGUCUAAAAAAAUAACUUUGAUAACUUUCACUGAAUGAUCUCGAGUUCCUUAUGUAUGCACUAAUUUCAGAUCUGUCUUCCCUAUCUACAUGAAGCUUUUUCACUAUAGUAAGCACGUCUCACUCUAUCUCCUCUUCUGAAAAUCCCAAGGCCAGACCCAUCUUAACCGUCUAAAAGCAUGCAAGAGCCUCCGUAGCGAACACCGAAGCAUCAAAAUUAAUCUUCACGUAAGGACUUUCCAGCAACAUUCAUCGUUCAGUCUCCACCCUUCGAACAGGAUGCAUUGGAGGUCGGAAUCGAGCGAGAAUAUCACCAAAGGAGAGGGUACCACAAUAUCCUACCAUUGGAAUCACGAUACCUCCAACAUGCCCCAAUUUGAAGACCACUUAUAGUGGUAUCACGAUACCCACCUGCCGAAGGAGCACCCAAGUCAAGUCUAUCGACGGUAUCGAGAUAUCCUAUCCUUGGGUAUCGUAAUACUAACAUCGUGAGGGGACAAAAAAUGACACCAAUGGUAGUCUUUGUCCAAUUGAAGCACCAAUCAUUGAAGGUCUGUUCAAGGGAAUUUUUGGCACAAAAAUGGGUCAGAAAAUUGUUGCUAAAAACAUACAAAUUUGUCUGAGAAGAGGGACACACAAUUAGGCUUAGUUUUAGUUUUAGUUAGUUUCUUUUAGGUUUUCCUUUAGUUUUUCUUUGCACUUUUCUAGGGUUUCUUAUUUUCUAUCUUUCUCCAUAGUUGCAGUGUUUACUUUUCUGCAAUUUUCUUCUUGUUCUUGUUAUCCUUCAAGUUAGUUAAGUUAGGUAACACUAUAGCUUAGGUUUAUUUUCACCCUUAGUCCAUUUCCUUUGCUUAUAAUGACAUUUCAACCUUUUAGUUUAAUGUAUUUCAGUUUCUCAUAGUUUAAUCUAUUAAAGACUCUACCUUUUAUGUU